CAUUCUUUUCCAUGUUGUUUAUACUUAGAGACUCUUCCCAUACUCAGAGAGCAGUGAAGGGAUUACCUAACAGAGCCCUUCAGUGUCUGGGCUGCUAGGCCUGAGUCCUGGCUCUGCUGUGACGGUGUGAUGAGCUUCUCUUACCUCAGUCUCCUUGACUAUACAAUGGGCAUAAUCACAUAGGGGAAAUAGGUGGGCUAUUAGUUCUGUGCCUCGCACAUAGUAAGCUCUCAAUAUUUUCCUCCUAAAUUAAAAACAAAUAAUUCACUUAUUAUAUGUGACUUCCCAAUUUCUCUGGAUUGUUUUUUGUUACAAUUUGAAGGAACAAUCCAAACCCAUUUGCUUCUGCAAAUUUUUAAGCAGCCUUUGACAUGCUAUGAAUGACUCUAACAGCAACCAGAAUGACUGACUACUGCUAUAACGUUCUAUUGUAUCAGUUGUAUUGUGAAUUUGUGGAUGUUCAGCAGUUCAACUGUGUAAUUGUGGAUGAAUUCUGA
rnacentral:lncRNA from 13 species